AACAAACGCUGGCGGCGUGCCUAAUACAUGCAAGUCGAACGAGGAAAGUUCCUUCGGGAACCGGUACUAGUGGCGCACGGGUGAGUAACGCGUAGAUAAUCUGCCCUUUAGCGGGGAACAACCAACCGAAAGGUUAGCUAAUACCGCAUAAGACCACAGUCCUUGCGGGGACAGGGGUUAAAGGCUUCGGCCACUAAAGGAUGAGUCUGCGUACGAUUAGCUUGUUGGUGGGGUAAUGGCCUACCAAGGCUUCGAUCGUUAACUGGUCUGAGAGGAUGAUCAGUCACACUGGAACUGAGACACGGUCCAGACUCCUACGGGAGGCAGCAGUAGGGAAUAUUGCGCAAUGGAGGAAACUCUGACGCAGCGACGCCGCGUGAGUGAUGAAGGCCUUCGGGUUGUAAAGCUCUGUUCUUGGGGAAGAAAAAAAUGACGGUACCCAAGGAGAAAGGACCGGCUAACUUCG
rnacentral:rRNA from 1 species